AAAGCUCAAAUACUGGACUGUCCGGUUCAAAACCGGACACCUGGCAACCCUAUUUGUAUCCGCACGCUAGCUCACCAGGGUUAGCCAGUGCGAAUGUGCCCACCGCCAUCACGGCUUUGGUUCUCUGCCGUUCUUGGAUGGAGCAGUGAGACUGGAUAGUUCCUUCUUUGGUCUUUUUUUCUUCAAAACUCAAAGCUGAGAUGAACAUUGAGAAGUACCCAGGAGGGCCUUAAUGGACCGCAUCAGUAAUUUGCUCUGGGCCAGAGAUGGGCCAUUCAUCCUCUGGGCUGAUCAUCCAGCAAACGCCUCUGCUUUCACCGCCUGGUCUCAGCGUCCGAGGUGAAGAAGCUGUUUUCCCAACUGCUUAGCGCACGGUGGUCUUUUGCUGGUGAGGACUCACUCAUGCAACGGUUAUGCUGAUUUGUCAGAACAACAUGCUUUAUUUUGUCUAUUUGGAGGCCAUUCUUGAGAGAGCGCAGCUGUAUGUGUGGCUGAGAGUUUUGGAAAAGAAGAAAGCCGGCAUGCACUUUGCAAUUGCUCAUGGUGUAAAUAACACACGCUACAGCCAGAAUACACCAGAACUCCAUGUCACUGAAUUCUCCUCCACGCAAGCUGACCUUCAAGGCCCCAGAACUGUGCAAUAGUUUGUCAGAGGGGCAGCAUUGGUGUUGGCAGUAGGAUACAGUUGGUAUUCAAAGAAGAGACAACAUUAUUCUCAUUUUAUAUUUGGUUAGAAGUGAGGUGCAGAGAGCACACAGUGAGACUAAGGCAGAGCUCGAGGAAGAACAAAUAAAUCUAUGAAUCAAACCCCCAACUCUCUGGGAAUUAAAAAAAAAAUCUAUUCCCAAGGUUCAGCAUGGUUGAAUGCAAUACAUCAAUUUAACUUCAAACAUUUAAAUAAAAGACAUUGGGAUGCGAACUAAAAUGAUCAAGUCACGCUGAAAAUAGUCUAGUAGGGAAGCUUAUAAAACCCCAACCCAUAACUAUGACAUACAUUUAUAAGGCUACAUCUAUGCUGCAGGCUU